UGGGGGAUAUUGCACAAUGGGCGAAAGCCUGAUGCAGCGACGCCGCGUGGGGGAUGAAGGCCUUCGGGUUGUAAACUUCUUUUGCUCUGAACAAGGCGCACCAUGGGGUGUGUUGAGUGUAGGGGUUGAUUAGCGCCGGCUAACUACGUGCCAGCAGCCGCGGUAAUACGUAGGGCGCGAGCGUUGUCCGGAAUUAUUGGGCGUAAAGGGCUUGUAGGUGGCUGGUUGCGUCUGUCGUGAAAGCUCAUGGCUUAACUGUGGGUUUGCGGUGGGUACGGGCUGGCUUGAGUGCAGUAGGGGAGGCUGGAAUUCCUGGUGUAGCGGUGGGAUGAGCAGAUACCAGGAGGAAUACCGGUGGCGAAGGCGUGUCUCUGGGCUGUUACUGACACUGAGGAGCGAAAGCAUGGGGAGCGAACAGG
rnacentral:rRNA from 1 species